ensembl:lncRNA
CUGGAUGCAGAGGAGUUAACAUCUCCUGUUCUGACUGCAGCUCGGAGGAACUGCUGUGCGAGGACUGGGCCGCCUGUGAGUGCUUUCAGAUGGGGGAGGGGCCCACGGCGGCACCCGCUGCUCGUUGAGAAGAGUAAGAACAAGUCCCCAAUAACACAACAAAAAGUCGCUAGAUUUGUCGCUGGUCGCUUUUUUGAAAAAAAGUCGCUAAGGAGGUCUGAAGAGUCGUUAAAUCUAGCGACAAAGUUGCUAAGUUGGCAACACUGCUCUGCACACUGCUCGCUGGCAAGCUCUACAAAGAGGCACAGACAUUCAUUUCCAACAAGAGCCAGCGAAUCACAGCUACAGUGGGCAAAGCUACUCUUGGAGAGAAAAUCUCCCAGCGGCAGCAACAGUUGAGAAACGUUAAACUUUAUGCUAAUUUCCAGCGAGCGGGCUGUGACGGAGUUCAGCGACUACCAAUUGCCAACUGCAGGAUAGAUGUUCUCUGUAUCUUGAAAUCGCUUCUCUUUUCUACACAUUAGCUUAAAACUUGCUCGCUAACUCAAAACAUUUACAAGAAAUGUAUUAUUGCAGUGUCCGGUUUCCCUAUUAUUUAUGAUGCUUGUCUGGCUUCAUACAGAGAUAUCAUUCUAAAAACUGAUGCACAGAAGAAGGUUUCAGAGAUUGUUGGGAUCACGGGUGAAUGUUACAUGCAUAACGUAAAACGAAGUAAUUUUUUUAUUUGAACACUGACAAAUCAUUGAUUUGGCAUCGUGUUGAUACGUAAUACCUUUUUCGUCAUGGAGUCACUUAAGUAAUACAUUCUUAUUAAUAAUAAUUGCGGAGACUGAUGUUUCCACUAUACGAUUAACUGGUUAUCGAUGGCCUAAAUUUGGAAGACCCCCUGCCGCAGGCAGAGUGCAUGCAAGGGAGGGCUCAGCGACAGCUAGCCAGACAUUGAGCGAUUUGUGAGUUGAAUAUUUUUUGUGGCAAACUCAAAAAAAUUAUAAAUUCACAUUGCAUUGGCACUGAACAUCUCUUAUAGGGCCUCAUUAGCUAACACAACUUGUUCAUAGGGGACAAAACUUUUGUUUUUUCCCUAAAUAAAUCCUACGUAGUGCAGCGUUAAAGUUAAACCAAAAUUCCAUGUGAAACACAUUACUUUGUACGUUCUCAGAACAUUCUCAGAACUCUUCCAAAUUAUGAAUAUGGUCUUUCUAUUAUCAUACAAAUAUUUGAUCACAAACUGAAGGAAGAAUAUUAAGUUCACAUCUCCAUGCCUUAGCUUUGCACACCAGCACAAAUCGACCAUGUAGAGAUAUUUAAAAUGAAAGUACUGUACUACAGUGUAACACCGGUCACAUAUGUGAAUUAACUGUAUGGUUCAUGCGAAAAUAAUGGACAUCUUUGGUGUUUUCUUUUUUUUUUUUUUUUCAUAAUGACACCAUAAAGGUAAAGUGUAACUUUGUACUGAAAAACAUCUUGUAAUGUCACAAGCUAUCAGAAAAUAAAAUGCCCACUUAGCUACCCAUCUUUCUAGUAAUAAAACCUCUGCCUUUGAGUGUUGGUAAAGAAAAUAUUUGUUAAAUUGAUGAAAGCUAAAUCCCAUAUUGUUUUUCCCAAGAAUGGGUGUCAAUGGCAUUUUCUUGUUCUAUUUACUUAGGCACUCUUUGUGUUGAAAGUCCAAUCUGCUGCUUUCACAAUCCAUCGUUCAUGUUGUUCAUACUUUUGUACUUAUAUUUUUCUCUGUCAUUGUACUUCUGUCCUGCCUUUUAUAUUGCUCUUAGUAAAUGUUGUCAUUUUGAUUAAUUAACAUGUAUUAACAUAGAUAUAGGUGUAGGAUUUUAAUUUGAGCCAGUUUGUUAUACAGCAGGAAAAUUAUCUGGCAGCAGCAAUACAUUUUUAUUAUUAUUUGUAUUAUAGUAAACAGUCAUUUAGGACUUGGGAAAAUCCAAUAAAAAUACUUCAGAAAUAUUUUUAGAAGUCAAAAACACUAGUGGGCUUUUGUUUGGUGUUUAUACCUGUGUUGAAAAUGACUAGCUGCUAGCUAUUAUCAGAGGCCACCCUGGAACAAUUAGCCAUUAUGCCUGGUACGUUCUGCAGAGCACCCAAUCAUUUUUGGUAACAUAAUAACAAAUCAGAAACCUUACAUGGUAGAGCCACCAUCCAAUACACUUAAGCUAGUCAAAUUGGCCACCAGGGGGAGAUUACAAAACCCUCUAACUUAAUGAGGCCUUUUCUGUUACCAUUGGCAGUGUGCCAUUAACCUACAUGAUACUCCAUUGACAAUGAUACUGAAUUUACAAAAGGCAAAAUCAUUUAAGGUUAUUUAUUUGGGCAGUAUGUGUUUGUUUGUAAAAAUUCUAAAUACAAUUACAAUUAAAUUGUCCAGAAUUCUAUUGAUAGCUAGAAGUGUCUUUAAGAGUGAAGACAGAUAGCAGUGGACCAACUUAUGUCUCAAGUUGCCAAUAAACCAUUGUUCUAGCACUGUGAAAUGUUGGUGCAGACAACACUAAUGAAAUUGUUGAUUUGAUUAUCCCAAUGUUCUGCAAGGGCACUUUAGUGAAAACGUUUAUUGCACCCAAAUAUGUCAGUGUAGGACACAUCCACCUACAUUCGUAAUCCGUAUGUUUUUUGUGAAUUCUACUAGUUGGCCUUUAAAAAGUUGUCUGCUACCCAUUUCAGAACACAGGUAUAAACCACUUUUCAGAGCAAACAUGUGUAAAAACUUUUUUGCACUGCCGGAAAGUACUCCUGCAAUAGGGUGUUCAAAUUAAGAUCCUCAAUCUGUACUAAAAACUGGAAUAUUUCUGUAACAAUAAUAGUAGAAUGUGCAUGUUUGCUUGUAUUCAUUGUACUGCUAGAGGUACUGUGGUAUUUGUACUAUUCAAAACUGAAGCAAUCAUAGUUAGACUUGCAGUGUUCAUGCAAAACUCCUUAUAGUUCAUGGCUUAUACAGUAACUUGUGUUAGACUUAGGGUCAGAAGUUAAACACACAUCAAAUGUAAAUGCUUUUCUGAAAUAGUCUUACAAGUCUUACAAGAAAUGUGUUUUUGAUUUUAUUGAUUAAAACAACAAAUGAUAAUCAAUAAAA